rnacentral:rRNA from 1 species
UGCGGAAUUUUAGAUAAUGGAGGGAACUCUGAUCUAGCGACGCCGCGUGCAGGAAGAAGGUCUUCGGAUUGUAAACUGCUGUGGUAAGGGAAAAAUGCUAUGUAGAGUGGAAAGCUACAUAGAGGGAUGGUACCUUACUAGAAAGCCCCGGCUAACUACGUGCCAGCAGCCGCGGUAAUACGUAGGGGGCGAGCGUUACCCGGAAUCACUGGGCGUAAAGGGAGCGUAGGUGGCCUAACAUGUCAACUGUGAAAACCCGGAGCUCA